UGCCUCAGUAACGGCGAGUGAAGCGGCAAAAGCUCAAAUUUGAAACCUUUCAGGAUUGUAAUUUGAAGAUGGCAUCAAAAAAAGGCUGAAAACUUAUGUUCCUUGGAACAGGACGUCACAGAGGGUGAGAAUCCCGUGCAGUUUUUCACGCCCUACCUUUCUUGCCAUCAAAGAGUCGAGUUGUUUGGGAAUGCAGCUCAAAGUGGGUGGUAAAUUCCAUCUAAAGCUAAAUACUGGCGAGAGACCGAUAGCGAACAAGUACCGUGAGGGAAAGAUGAAAAGCACUUUGAAAAGAGAGUGAAACAGUACGUGAAAUUGUUGAAAGGGAAGGGCAUGAAGAUAGAUUGUGAGGGUCGUGGGGAGUGGAGAAAAAAUCACGUGGGAACGUGGCCUUCGGGUGUUAUAUCCCACCACAUUUCUCCCACCCCCCACGAGGACCGCUUUUAGGACCCUCACGUAAUAUCUCCACGCC
rnacentral:rRNA from 1 species